rnacentral:rRNA from 1 species
AAACGUUAUUCGGAAUUACUGGGCUUAAAGGGUUUGUAGGCGGCCUUGUAAGUGGGGUGUGAAAUCCCUCGGCUCAACCGAGGAAUAGCGCUCCAAACUACAUGGCUUGAGGGAGACAGGGGUAAGCGGAACUGAUGGUGGAGCGGUGAAAUGCGUUGAUAUCAUCAGGAACACCGGUGGCGAAAGCGGCUUACUGGGUCUCUUCUGACGCUGAGAAACGAAAGCUAGGGUAGCGAACGGG